rnacentral:rRNA from 1 species
UCGUCAGCUCGUGUCGUGAGAUGUUGGGUCAAGUCCCGCAACGAGCGCAACCCUUGCCUAUAGUAGCCAGCAGUAAGAUGGGGACUCUAUAGGGACUGCCGGGGACAACCCGGAGGAAGGUGGGGAUGACGUCAAAUCAUCAUGCCCCUUACGGUCUGGGCUACACACGUGCUACAAUGGCGUAACAGAGAGAAGCGAGCCUGCGAGGGGGAGCGAACCUCAAAAAUAACGUCCCAGUUCGGACUGCAGUCUGCAACUCGACUGCACGAAGCCGGAAUCGCUAGUAAUCGCAGAUCAGAAUGCUGCGGUGAAUACGUUCCCGGGUCUUGUACACACCGCCCGUCACACCAUGGGAGUUGGUAAUGCCCGAAGCCGGUGGCCUAACGAAAGAGGGAGCCGUCGAAGGCAGGACCGAUGACUGGGGUGAAGUCGUAACAAGGUAACCGUA